GUGCGCUAUGCCGAUCGGGUGUCCGCACUA
rnacentral:piRNA from 1 species